UACGAAGGGGGGCUAGCGUUGCUCGGAUUGACUGGGCGUAAAGGGCGCGUAGGCGGUUCGUACAGUCAGACGUGAAAUUCCUGGGCUCAACCUGGGGGCUGCGUUUGAUACGUGCGGACUUGAGUGCGGAAGAGGGUCGUGGAAUUCCCAGUGUAGAGGUGAAAUUCGUAGAUAUUCGCAAGAACACCAGUGGCGAAGGCGGCUCACUGGCCCGAUACUGACGCUGAGGCACGAAAGCGUGGGGAGCAAACAGG
rnacentral:rRNA from 1 species